ensembl:lncRNA
UGAAUGUGAGUGAUGGGACCAAGAGGGAAAUAAAUAAAAGGUUGACAAACAGGACAAGUGGGAGACUUAAAUCUGGGGAUGCUGAUUUUGGGAUAUUGAUGUGUGCGUUGAGAAAAUUAUUUAUUGGGGUUGGAUUUUGUUAUUACAUUAUAGGAUGCUAAAUGCUAAAAGGGAAACAUUGAUGUAACUUAAGUUACCAUGAACGGAGGGGACACAUGAUUAAUAACUGUUCUGUGUAAGUUUAUUUUGGGUUAUAACACAGGUUGGAUCAUCAGUGGAGAAAGUGAGUAUAAAAGGUGAUGUUCUGGUUAACACACAGGCUUUUGUUUAUAGGACGUUUCAAGGAUGCAGGCUGUGGAUGGAGCCAAGAAAGGAUUUGACAUGAUGAUUAAUUUGAUUUCAUUCCUUAAACACAGGUUUGAAGGUCCGGAGCAUGUAGACUUAAUAUGAUAGGACUAACCUUUUUUAAGGCCCUAACCUGAGUGAAGGAUUUUGAGUUUGUAACACAUGAGAUGUGUCACAAAAGGGGAGUUACAGGAUUUAAGGUUUAAUUUGAAAGGGGUUUUAGGAUUACUUGAUGAUGUUUAGGUUUUUUGAUAAUUUAGGUAUGGUAAAACUGAGGCAGAAAGUGUUAUUUUCAGGUUAUUUUUGAUUUCUAGAAUAAGAGGUUAUAAUUUAGGCGUGCACAUACAGAUAUGUCAAAGGAAAAUUGUAUAUAUGUUAUCAGCUACAUGAAAUGUGUCUACGUGACGUUUACCUAAUAACUUAUGUGAUGAUAAAGUUGUUUACCGACUAGCAGCUUGCUCUCUUCUUGAACCUACAGACUUAGAAAAGGGAACUUCAGCUCUGAGUUCUGAGAAUAACUCUGGUAUUUUUAUAAGUAGACAGGAAACACGUCGAGACCGCCGUAUAUAGGGCAAAUGUUAGAGCUUGUAAUUAAAUGUGGGCUUGAAAAGAGGAAGCAAAUUUGGUACAGGACGUGCUUGAGAUGAUCAGAUGAGAGAAAGGAGGAGAACAGAGCACAAAUACACCGAGUUGUUUAUAUUACAAAGAAGAUCAAAAGCUUGUUAGACACAGGUUAUAAUGGAAGCAUAAAAGGGAUGAGAGGAACUUUACAUAACAUAGAAAUCCUGCAACAAUUAGUAAAUUGCCCAAACACAGUGUUCAGACCGGAUAUGCGCUACCCGUUAAAGGGGGCGAAGAAAUCAGGCCUAAGUUUGAAAAAUGAAAUGGGUUAACUCGAUAGAGGAUGUUUCCAAAGGUAGAGAAAAUAAUGUAGGACCUUUUACCAGGAGAAAGCUAACUGUAUCUUUUACACUUUACAGUGUGCAUUGAGGGAAGUCAGGAAUAGUUUAAAUUAGGAUUGAAAAAAUUAAACUAGGUGAAAAGGGGGUGUAGCAAGUAGAUUCAGGGCAGUUCACAGCCUGGCGUAAACGCAAGGUGCUGUCACACAGCUUAAGUUAUUUGGUUGAUUUAUUUUAUGACAAAAUAAUAAGGAAAUAUUAAAAAUAUACAACACGUUGAGAAGAUCUCUUUUGUUAUAUUUUAGUGUUUAACAUGGAAGAUGCCUCUCUGGAGCUUCUCUCCUGAUGCUACUCCACCAAAAGAAGUUCAUUUAUAGAGACUAUGUCAGCUCCCAAACAGACAACAACAAACCAAGAUUAGCAAUAAACAAUCUAAACAUAAAUAAUAACAAAUAAAGAACAAUACAGAAUCCAAAUCUGAACCAAAGAACAAAAUAGUGAAAUGUGGAUUAUUGGGUUUUUCUCUGUAUAUAUGAAGUAUUUGUAAUGUGUAUCUGCUAAUGAAGGCUUGUAGAGGCCAGUUUAUACUCACAAACGAGUGCUCAGCCAGACUGAAAAACAGGAAGCUUUAGUGCACAAGGCAUAUUAAUAAAUAUAGACACAAAAGAGGAACUCCCCAUAUAAACAACGUUCAAAAAUGUGUGAAGUAUAAAGUACCGAAAUAACACUAUAUAAGUCACAGUUGAUGAUUCUAAUGUUAGAGAGCUCUUGCAAUUGGCGUCUGAGCUGUGCAGAGGUCUCUCUUAAGACAGGUACUUAUGUAGGUUAGCAUGAGGUUGAGUUAAUUUUAUACACAAUGCAUAACUGUGCUUGUUUAGAGUUGAUGUUCCGUCCAAACAGGUUUUAAGCUUCACUGGUGAGAGUGUCCAGGUGAUACAUGUUGAGGGAUGAUGAGAACAUAGCAGGUGAAUUGCACGCACGCUUACAAACACACAUGAUUUAUAUAUAGGCCAGGCCAAAGGCCUGGACUUGAUGUAGCUUUCAACUUUACAGCUCCUAACUUGCAGGAAUGGCGGGGAGUGUAAUGAAUGAAUGCAAAACAUGCUUACAGACACAAACAUGACAGGGGUUUAUUUUACAGGGUAAAGGUGGACUACAGGUUGCUUUGUUUCUGCUUAGCAACUACUGAGGUAAAAGGUGUUAAAGAUAAAUAUGCAAUAAGUGAACAGGAAAUGUGUGAGGGUGAGCCGGGUGAAACAAAAUGUUGUAGAUAAUGGAAACUUGUCUAACGGGCAUUAACAGUAACUUUUGCAUGUUAUGUAUAUGCUUGAGGCCAAAGGAGGCAUAAAUCCAGAUAGAAAACUUUGAAGUGUGCUUUUUAGCGGAGAUUUAGGCUGACAUGGGGAUGGUGUGCAUUUUACUUGGGUUGUGUUUAAUAAGACUAAAAGCGUUGCUCACACACAUAGAGAGUAUUGAGAUUAAAUAAAGUUAAUAUAAUGGAUAGAGCCCAGAACAGGAUAAUACAUAAGUAAAAUCAAAUGUAAUGUUUGAUUUCACUUUUAUUGGGAAAAUAAUUAGCCAAGAAAUGUGUAUUGAAUUCUCCACAUACUUUGAAACUGCGCAACUCUGAGUGGGCAAUGUAAUGAAGCAACUGUUACAUAUUUGCAUUAAACUAGCCAACAUAGACUCACCACCACAUGAUGUUGCCCUGCAGCGGGGGCAGAAAAUCAUUUGCAAACCAGGGAUCUUAUGUUGAUUAUCAUAUUCUUACUUAUGUACACACACACACACAGAAGGGAAAAAUUUCAAAACAAAACAAAAAACAACUUCGCUUAACCUGUCAAGCACAGGAGCAAAAUAAAAAUCUCUUUGGGCUCUGUUAAAAUUUCUUUAGUAAAAGUGUAAAAGGCCAAACCUAAGAGGUUGGGCAACCCGGAAAGUCCCUCCAGUAUCAGGAGUUAAUAGUCAGGAAACAUUCUUCACUUUAACGCCUUAUAUCUGACAAAUCAUUGACUCAUAGAUGCAGAUAGACAUACAAGUGCACAUACAUCCAGAUGUGCAUUUAGACAUUAAAAGUGUAGAGACAUGUACACACAGAUUGGCAAACCGGUACAGAGUCUAGCUGAAGAGCUUAACAAAGCAGACGUGGCAGUAGGGUUUGUGAUUUUGCCUGAUAUGAUAUUGUGAACCAACUUUGAAUAAUGACAGGAACCUGAGAUGAACACGGUAAGUUAGUAAGGUGUAGCAGAGAAAGGUUGUUUGUUUUCUAUCCCUUACAGGAGAAGAUUUCCACUAGAGAGGGACCCAGAAAAGGAGCAGAGACCACUUAAGCAUGAAGUGUUUUCAAGUGGGAGCUGGUGUUUUAUUGCUGGACCACCUAGAGGACAUGAGGUUGUUGCCGGAUUUGCUGAGUCAGGGGGCGGCAAGAGAGGGUCAGAGCGAAGGUAGUGGACCUGGGAAUAGUGUAGUGACGUCUUUGGAAGACGUCAAAAGGGGGAAUUGUAGAAUUAUAGGGACUAUUUUACAUAACCAUCAUCUUGUCAUUGCAUUAAUUAUCAUUUCAUCCAAGCAUUUAUUGAAGCUGCUGGCAUUAUGUUAUAAUUUAUAUUAUAGGGGUUAUCAUAAUCAAAUAUUAACAUGUUUAUUAUAGGUGCAGUAUAACUACUUUAGAAUCAUUGAGUUAAAUAUAUAUGUAUCAUAACUCAUAUGCUGAGUAUAUUGUUACAGUAAAAUAGUAGCUGAGCAAAGGCCUGAAUGUAUUCAGCUUCUUGUGGUAUUUGAGUUUGCUUAGUUACAGGUGACGGAAGGAUGUCCAGUCCAUGGUGACCUCAAAGGCCUUAGGUCAUCACUAUAUUCGGAAGAGUAUGCCACAAGGAGGAACCUCUGUGUUUGCAUUUAAUUCUUAAAAUACAUGAAUGUUCUGUACAUGCAAAUUAUGUGCUUGUAAACGCAAGAAGGGGCGUUACAAUACCCUGAUGUUAUAAAAGCAAUCUAGAGUGUAUUUUGGGUAGAGAUGUACAACUGCUUUGCAGUUUGCACCUCUCCACGCUGCGUGCAUUCAUUAAAAUCAAUUGUUUGAUUGACCUCUUCUGGACCAUCAUUGUUUUACUCUCGUCCUCAAUUUCUUACCCGUAACAGUAGCAUGGCUAUUGGAGUAUUUCAGAAACUGCUGAGCUACUGGGAUUGUCCCACGCAACCAUCCCAAGGGUUUAUUACAUAGAAUGAUCUGGAAAAGGGAAAAUAUCUAAAGAGUGGCGGUCGUCAAGAUAAAAAAUGCCUUGUUGAUACCAGAAAUCAGGAGAAUAGCCAGAUUACUUCAACCUGAUCAGAAGGCAACAGUCAAUCGGUGAGAGGAACAUCUCUGAAAGCACAACAUGUCAAAACUUGCAGCACAGUGCCAUACUGGGUGCCAUUUCUGUCAGCUAAGAACAGGAAACUGAGGCUUCAGUUCUCACAGGCUGACCAAAAUUAGAUGAUGCAAGACUGAAAUGACAUUUCCUGCUCUGAUGAGUCUUAAUAAGUCCAGACUGCUUUGAAGUUGUAGCAAGACACUAGUAACUAAAAUAACUACUUGCUAAGUCAUAGGAUGCAGAAGAGCAUCUAUGAAUGAACAACAAGUCAAACCUUGCAGCAGAUGGGCUGCAGCAGCAGAAGACCACACCAGGUGCCCCUCAUAAGAACUGAAUAUCGAGGCUACAAUCAUACCCACUGUUAAAUAUCCCAAUUCUUUGAUCUUUGGGCUGAAGGAAGAACAACACUCGGUGUAUAAAUGCUCAUUCAACAACGUCUUUAAUCAAUACCAUUUUCUUUAUUCCAUACAACACUUUGAGCAUUACCAACGUCCGGACGAGAGAUGUGCACGGGAGGGUGUCCGGCAAAAUCUCGAGGUGUCUGACCGUUUCUCACAUUCUUAUAGCUUCAGCCCCCCUCCAAACUAAGCAUUCACAUUCUUUCUCUCUCAGUGAGCCUAAGUUACGACCUUGGCUUCUUGUGUAGUAUGUUUUGUUCUUUCUACAAUCAGAAAAGCAAGGCCAUGAUUCUCUGCAAACAGUAUUCUCUUUAUAAAUUAGCAGUAUGAAGUACCAUAGAACAGUGUAAUUCAUUCACAGUAAAUCAGCAGUCUAAUGUAAUACAAAUCAGUCUAAUCAAUCUAAUAAUUUCACCUUCUAACUCAGGAGUAUAAUGCAACCUAAAACUAUAUAAUGAUUUCAUAAGCUUAAAUCAGGUAUAACGUAACAUAAGACAGUGUAAUCUCACACCACUCACACGGGCUGGACAUUAAAAGAUUGGAUAAAUCUGCCUGGUCUGAUGACUCAGAUGGUGGGGGUCAGAAUUUGGGGUAAACAACAUGAAAGCAUGGAGUUAUCCUGCCUUUUGUCAACAGUUCAAGCUGCUGGUGGUGGGAUGGUUAGGGGUACUUUUUUUUUACACUUGCCCCUUGGUACUAAAUGAGCAUUACUUAAAGACCAAAACCUACCUGAGUACU